GAUGAACGCUAGCGGCAGGCUUAAUACAUGCAAGUCGAGGGGCAGCAUGGUGUAGCAAUACACUGAUGGCGACCGGCAAACGGGUGCGGAACACGUACAGAACCUUCCUUCGAGCGGGGAAUAGCCCAGAGAAAUUUGGAUUAAUACCCCAUAGUAUAUUGAAAAGGCAUCUUUUUAAUAUUAAAGAUUUAUCACUUGAAGAUGGCUGUGCGGCUGAUUAGGUAGUUGGCGGGGUAACGGCCCACCAAGCCUGCGAUCAGUAACUUGUGUGAAGAGACGACCGGUCACGAGGUCAACGAGAGCCGGGAGCAACUCCUACGGGAGUCAGCAGUAAGGAAGAUUGGUCAAUGGACGAACGUCUGAACCAGCCAUGGCGCGUGGAGGAUGAAAGUCCUCUGUGUUGUAAACUUCUUUUAUAUGGGACGAAAAAAGGCUUUUCUAAGUCGUCUGACGGUACCAUAUGAAUACGCACCGGCUAACUCCGUGCCAGCCGCCGCAGUAACAC
rnacentral:rRNA from 1 species